rnacentral:rRNA from 1 species
GCCUCAGUAGCGGCGAGUGAAGCGGCAAGAGCUCAGAUUUGAAAUCCGGCGCGGUCCCCGCGCCCGAGUUGUAAUCUGGAGAGGAUGCCCCGGCAAGGAAGGCCGUCCAAGUUCCUUGGAACAGGACGUCUCAGAGGGUGAGAACCCCGUACCCGACGGCCGACCGCGCCGCGUGGGGCUCCUUCGACGAGUCGAGUUGUUUGGGAAUGCAGCUCAAACUGGGUGGUAAAUUCCAUCUAAAGCUAAAUACCGGCGGGAGACCGAUAGCGCACAAGUAGAGUGAUCGAAAGAUGAAAAGCACUUUGAAAAGAGAGUUAAAAAGUACGUGAAAUUGUUGAAAGGGAAGCGCUUGCCAUCAGAAUCGGGGCCGGUCGAUCAGCGUUCCUUCUGGUUCGUGCACUCGGCCGGUCUCCGUGCCAGCAUCGGCGGCCGCGGCGGGACAAAGGCGGCGGGAACGUGGCUCCCCCCGGGGAGUGUUACAGCCCGCCGCGCAAUGCCGCCAGCGGCC